GAGCUUGCUCCUGAUGGCGAGUGGCGAACGGGUGAGUAAUAUAUCGGAACGUGCCCUAGAGUGGGGGAUAACUAGUCGAAAGACUAGCUAAUACCGCAUACGAUCUACGGAUGAAAGUGGGGGAUCGCAAGACCUCAUGCUCCUGGAGCGGCCGAUAUCUGAUUAGCUAGUUGGUGGGGUAAAAGCCUACCAAGGCAACGAUCAGUAGCUGGUCUGAGAGGACGACCAGCCACACUGGGACUGAGACACGGCCCAGACUCCUACGGGAGGCAGCAGUGGGGAAUUUUGGACAAUGGGGGCAACCCUGAUCCAGCAAUGCCGCGUGAGUGAAGAAGGCCUUCGGGUUGUAAAGCUCUUUUGUCAGGGAAGAAACGGUAGUAGCGAAUAACUAUUACUAAUGACGGUACCUGAAGAAUAAGCACCGGCUAACUACGUGCCAGCAGCCGCGGUAAUACGUAGGGUGCAAGCGUUAAUCGGAAUUACUGGGCGUAAAGCGUGCGCAGGCGGUUGUGUAAGUCAGAUGUGAA
rnacentral:rRNA from 1 species